rnacentral:rRNA from 1 species
UCUUGUAAUUGGAAUGAUGGUGACCUAAACCCUCACCAGAGUAACAAUUGGAGGGCAAGUCUGGUGCCAGCAGCCGCGGUAAUUCCAGCUCCAAUAGCGUAUAUUAAACUUGUUGCAGUUAAAAAGCUCGUAGUUGAAUUUUUGCGUGGUGUUAAUAUUGACUGAUGUCGAGAUUGCACUUCGCUUUUGGGAUUUUUCCCUUUUUACUUUGAGAAAAUUAGAGUGUUUCAAGCAGACUUUUGUCUUGAAUACUUCAGCAUGGAAUAAUAGAGUAGGACUUUGGUUCUAUUUUGUUGGUUUGUGAACCUUAGUAAUGGUUAAUAGGAACGGUUGGGGGCAUUCGUAUUUAACUGUCAGAGGUGAAAUUCUUAGAUUUGUUAAAGACGAACUACUGCGAAAGCAUUUGCCAAGGACGUUUUCAUUAAUCAAGAACGAAAGUUAG